GAUGAACGCUGGCGGCGUGCCUAAUACAUGCAAGUCGAGCGAAGCGGGGACGGGUGAGAGUCACGUGGAUAACCUCCUAUAAGACUGGGAUAACUUCCGGAAACCGGAGCUAAACCGGCUUCUUAACGAUGGAGCCGUGCUGCAUUAGCUAGUUGGAAAGGUAACGGCUUACCAAGGCAACGAUGCAUAGCCGACCGGAGAGGGUGAUCGGCCACACUGGAACUGAGACACGGUCCAGACUCCUACGGGAGGCAGCAUUAGGGAAUCUUCCGCAAUGGGCGAAAGCCUGACGGAGCAACGCCGCGUGAGUGAUGAAGGUCUUCGGAUCGUAAAACUCUGUUAUUAGGGAAGCGGUACCGAAUCAGAAAGCCACGGCUAACUACGUGCCAGCAGCCGCGGUAAUUC
rnacentral:rRNA from 1 species